rnacentral:rRNA from 1 species
AGCGGCGGACGGGUGAGUAACACGUGGGUAACCUGCCCAAGAGACUGGGAUAACACCUGGAAACAGAUGCUAAUACCGGAUAACAACACCAGACGCAUGUCUAGAGUUUGAAAGAUGGUUCUGCUAUCACUCUUGGAUGGACCUGCGGUGCAUUAGCUAGUUGGUAAGGUAACGGCUUACCAAGGCAAUGAUGCAUAGCCGAGUUGAGAGACUGAUCGGCCACAUUGGGACUGAGACACGGCCCAAACUCCUACGGGAGGCAGCAGUAGGGAAUCUUCCACAAUGGACGAAAGUCUGAUGGAGCAACGCCGCGUGAGUGAAGAAGGGUUUCGGCUCGUAAAGCUCUGUUGGUAGUGAAGAAAGAUAGAGGUAGUAACUGGCCUUUAUUUGACGGUAAUUACUUAGAAAGUCACGGCUAACUACGUGCCAGCAGCCGCGGUAAUACGUAGGUGGCAAGCGUUGUCCGGAUUUAUUGGGCGUAAAGCGAGUGCAGGCGGUUCAAUAAGCCUGAUGUGAAAGCCUUCGGCUCAACCGGAGAAUUGCAUCAGAAACUGUUGAACUUGAGUGCAGAAGAGGAGAGUGGAACUCCAUGUGUAGCGGUGGAAUGCGUAGAUAUAUGGAAGAACACCAGUGGCGAAGGCGGCUCUCUGGUCUGCAACUGACGCUGAGGCUCGAAAGCAUGGGUAGCGAACAGGAUUAGAUACCCUGGUAGUCCAUGCCGUAAACGAUGAGUGCUAAGUGU